rnacentral:rRNA from 1 species
UACGUAGGGGGCAAGCGUUGUCCGGAUUUAUUGGGCGUAAAGAGCGUGUAGGCGGUUUGGUAGGUCCGCUGUGAAAACCUCGAGGCUCAACCAUCGAGACGCCGGUGGAAACCAUCAGGCUAGAGUCCGGAAGAGGAGAGUGGAAUUCCUGGAUGUAGCGGUGAAAUGCGCAGAUAUCAGGAGAACACCGUGGCGAAGGC